rnacentral:rRNA from 1 species
UACAGAGGUCUCAAGCGUUGUUCGGAUUCAUUGGGCGUAAAGGGUGCGUAGGUGGCGGGGUAAGUCAGGUGUGAAAUCUCGGGGCUCAACCCCGAAACUGCACUUGAUACUGCCUUGCUCGAGUACUGGAGAGGAGAUUGGAAUUUACGGUGUAGCAGUGAAAUGCGUAGAUAUCGUAAGGAAGACCAGUGGCGAAGGCGAAUCUCUGGACAGCUACUGAUACUGAGGCACGAAGGCCAGGGGAGCAAACGGG